rnacentral:rRNA from 1 species
CCUGCCCACUGAUUGAAGGGCCGCGGUAAUUUGACCGUGCAAAGGUAGCAUAAUCUUAGUUUUUUAAUUGAAGGCUAGAAUGAAUGGUUGAAUGAGAUAUAUACUGUUUGAAUUUAAUUAUUGGGUAAGAAAGCUUAAAUACUUUCUUGGGACGAGAAGACCCUAUAGAGUUUAGUAUAUUUUGUUGGGGUGAUGGAAAGAUAAAUAACUAUUUAUAGAUCCAAUUGAUUUUAAGACUAAAUUACCUUAGGGAUAACAGCGUAAUUUUUUUUGAGAGUUCUUAUUGAUAAGGGAGAUUGCGACCUCGAUGUUGAUUAAAA